rnacentral:sRNA from 1 species
GCCGGGCGCAGUGGUGUGUGCCUGUAAUGCCAGCUACUUGGGAGGCUGAGACAGGAAGAUUACAAAUUCAGGGCCAAUCUCAGCAGUUUAGUGAGACCCAGUCUCAA